rnacentral:rRNA from 3 species
UACGAACUGUGCAAACGUUAUUCGGAAUCACUGGGCUUACAGGGUGCGUAGGCGGCCAGACAAGUAGGGUGUGAAAGCCCCCGGCUUAACCGGGGAAUGGCGCCCUAAACUGUAUGGCUGGAGUGAGAUAGGGGUGUGCGGAACUUCCGGUGGAGCGGUGAAAUGUGUUGAUAUCGGAAGGAACGCCGGUGGCGAAAGCGGCACACUGGAUCUCAACUGACGCUGAGGCACGAAAGCCAGGGGAGCGAACGGG